rnacentral:rRNA from 1 species
CAAGUCGAACGAAUCCCAUCUGGGUAACUGGGUGGGGGAAGUGGCGAAAGGGGCAGUAAGGCAUGGGUAACCUACCCUGGAGUUGGGCAUAGCCAUUCUAACGAAUGGGUAAUUCCCGAUAGCCUAGCGAGGGGACAUCUUCUUGCUAGUAAAGAGUUUCGCUCUGGGAGGGGCCCAUGUGCUAUUAGCUAGUUGGCGGGGUAACGGCCCACCAAGGCUAAGAUGGCUAGCGGGUGUGAGAGCACGACCCGCGCCACUGGCACUGAGACACUGGCCAGACACCUACGGGUGGCUGCAGUCGAGGAUCUUCGUCAAUGGGCGAAAGCCUGAACGAGCGACGCCGCGUGCGCGAUGAAGGCCUUCGGGUUGUAAAGCGCGAAAGAUGGGACGAAAGCCGAAAGGUUUGACCGAUCAUCAGUAAGCUCGGGCUAAGUUCGUGCCAGCAGCCGCGGUAAGACGAACCGAGCAAACGUUAUUCGGAAUCACUGGGCUUAAAGGGCGCGUAGGCGGGCAUCAAAGUCUGUGGUGAAAUCCGGCAGCUUAACUGUCGAACUGCCAUGGAUACUGGGUGUCUCGAGGAAGGUAGGGGCGUGCGGAACUAUUGGUGGAGCGGUGAAAUGCGUUGAUAUCAAUAGGAACUCCGGUGGCGAAGGCGGCACGCUGGACCUUAUCUGACGCUGAGGCGCGAAAGCCAGGGGAGCAAACGGGAUUAGAUACCCCGGUAGUCCUGGCCCUAAACGAUGGGUACUAGAUAGUAGACUUCACAUGGGUUUACUGUCGAAGCAAAAGUGCUAAGUACCCCGCCUGGGGAGUAUGGUCGCAAGGCUGAAACUCAAAGGAAAUUGACGGGGGCUCACAC